rnacentral:rRNA from 1 species
GAUAGCUGGUUCUCCCCGAAAUAGCUUUAGGGCUAGCCUCAGGUAGUAAGUAUAGGCGGUAGAGCACUGAUCGGGCUAGGGGCCAUAAAGGUUACCGAACCCUGUCAAACUCCGAAUGGAUAUACUGCAGAGCCUGGGAGUCAGACUACGAGUGAUAAGAUCCGUGGUCAAAAGGGAAACAGCCCAGACCACCGGCUAAGGUCCCAAAUGCCGUACUAAGUGGAAAAGGAUGUGGGGAUUCAUAAACAACCAGGAUGUUGGCUCAGAAGCAGCCACCAUUUAAAGAGUGCGUAAUAGCUCACUGGUCGAGAGUCCCUGCGCCGAAAAUUUCCGGGGCUAAAGUACGGAACCGAAGCCGUGGCUGUGUACUAAGUACACGGGGUAGGGGAGCGUUGCCACAGGGGUGAAGCUGGUCUGGAAGGACUGGUGGACUUGUGGGAAGUGAGAAUGUUGGUAUGAGUAGCGAAAAGAAAGGUGAGAAUCCUUUCCACCGAAAGCAUAAGGAUUCCUGAGCAACGAUCGUCGUCUCAGGGUAAGUCGGGACCUAAUCCGAGGCAAAGAGCGUAGGAGAUGGACAACAGGUUGAUAUUCCUGUACCGGCAGCAAUUGUUUGAGCGAAGGAGUGACACAGAAGGGCAGGCAGGCGCGAGACUGGAUUGUCGCGUGCAAGCGUGUAGGGUAGUGUACAGGCAAAUCCGUACACUUAGAGCCUGAGGCGUUACGCGGAGCGAGCAGAGAUGCGAGCGAAGCUGCUGAUCCCACACUGUCGAGAAAAGCUUCUAGUGAGAGAGCUGCCGCCCGUACCGUAAACCGACACAGGUAUGCGGGGAGAGAAUCCUAAGGUGCGCGGGAGAACCCUCGUUAAGGAACUCGGCAAAAUGUACCCGUAACUUCGGGAUAAGGGUAGCCGUCUUGGUGAAGGAGCAUGCCUCUGGAGCUGAAGGCGGUCGCAGAGAAGAGGCCCAAGCGACUGUUUACCACAAACACAGGUGCCUGCUAAAGCGAAAGCUGACGUAUAGGUGCUGACACCUGCCCAGUGCUGGAAGGUUAAGGAAGGAUGUCCGGGCAACCAAAGCAUUCGACCGAAGCCCCAGUGAACGGCGGCCGUAACUAUAACGGUCCUAAGGUAGCGAAAUUCCUUGUCGGGUAAGUUCCGACCCGCACGAAAGGUGUAACGAUUUGGGCACUGUCUCAACGAGGGACCCGGUGAAAUUGAAAUACCUGUGAAGAUGCAGGUUACCCGCGACUGGACAGAAAGACCCCAUGGAGCUUUACUGUAACCUGACAUUGGGUUUUGUUGUAUUACGUACAGGAUAGGUGGGAGGCUUGGAAGGCUGGACGCUAGUCUGGCUGGAGCCGGCGUUGGGAUACCACCCUUGAUACAACGGAAUUCUAACCGAGAGAUUAACGAAAUCCGGGACAGUGUCAGGCGGGCAGUUUGACUGGGGCGGUCGCCUCCGAAAGAG